GCUCAUACAGUUCUGGCUCAUCCCCUUUCAUUUCUGUUUGUGCCUUUGCUAGACUCUUGGAGCCCUUCAGAAGCCUCCCAUGACAGCGUGGCCAGACCAACACCGGCAGCAUGACCUUUAUGGUCACAGCAGCAGACCCUGUCCACACUCAGGCACAGUGAUGAGGGAGAGGAAGCAAUCUCUGUGCUCCUUCCUCAUCAUCAUCUUCCUUUGAGCCAACUUGUCUGCUCUCCGACGCUCACUCUGUUCCACCUGCUGAAGCCCUCAGCGUCAUCUCCUCAUUCCCAGCUCCGAGCCUCCUGCACUCUCCUCAUCAUCCAGCUCCAAGUCUCCAUCAAACCUCUGGCUAAAACUACCACACACACCAACAACCCUGGAUUCCACUCACUCCUCCCUGGAGGGCCGACAGUGGCUCUGUCGUUCUGUCCUUGGGCGAGACACUUCACCCACCUUGCCUGCUGGUGUUAGUCAGAGGGCCCUGUGGAGCAGGUGUAUGGCAGCCUCACUGCUGUAAAAUCUUCCCCAGGAGAAAUGCAGCUACAAUUUUGCUUACCACCAUCACCACCAGCGUGUAUGUGAAUGACUGAAUGUGGUUUAAAGCGCUU